ensembl:snoRNA
AAGCUACACUCUGUGUCAGUAGUCCUCUGGACAGUGAUCUGACUCAAUUUGAGCUUUGCUACAGUGACUCCAGUCUGUUUCUCCACGACAUUGUCCCAUAGGUGGGACUAAUGCUGGGGAGACUGGGACAGC